GUCCCCGAGACCCAAGCGCCCUGGGCGAAGCCACCGCGGGGAGGACCUGCGCUCGCGGGGGCUGCUGCGCUCUGCGCUGGGGCCUCUCGGGCUGGGAAUGCGUGGCCCGGCUUUUGAGGAUUUCCUCGGUCCCCGGGCGGAAAUAGCUGGAAUGGAGGGGCCUCUCGAUUGGAGACUUACUGGUCAAAUAUUUACUUUUGUUGAUCACUGGAAACGCUACCUACCACGCAUUGACUAGGACCACAAAAACCACGACUUCCUGGAAAAGUCUUCACCGUAAAUAUUAAUCUCUUUGGCAUGAAGAGGAAAACACUGCAGCUAAUUUUUCAUGGGAUAACAAAAAUAUAAACUGCAAUUUCUUUUAUUUUUUCCCUUUCGAUGGUCUUUUUAAACGAGGAGUAAAGAUUUCAACGCCAGGUCCAUUUUCCAAAUUUUGUACCAGAACCUUGAGGAUGCUUGUCUCUCGCGCGCUUCUCCGCAGACCGAACCCUCUCCGGAACUCAGAGCUGUUCACCCAAGUCAGCGGAGGAGGCCUCCUGGGACUUGAGCCUGAGGGUGGCGAAGAACCCUAGGCAGAGAUCAUCAACUUGGUACCGAUGAGUGACGCGGAGCUUGAACAUUCCAGCGACUUGCUCCAGGGCCACUCCCAGUUAAGAGGCUGAGUGUUAACUGCAAGAGGCUGAGUGUUAACUACGCCGUUGGCUCCAGGAACCGAACCGGGUUUGGAUACAGACCCAGUCACACCAUCCAUGAAAAGCUGUUUCUAUAAUAUGAAAAAUUGUUAAAUGACGCUUUAGUAAAAGCCAUUUAAAGAUCUUUUCUAAUAAAUUUUUCAUCUUUCCAAACAA
rnacentral:lncRNA from 1 species